GUAGAGCAGUGGACUGAAAAUCCUCGUGUCGGUAGUUCAAUUCUACCCCUGGGCACCA
rnacentral:tRNA from 1 species